rnacentral:rRNA from 1 species
UACGUAGGGGGCUAGCGUUGUUCGGAAUUACUGGGCGUAAAGCGCACGUAGGCGGAUUGUUAAGUCGGGGGUGAAAUCCUGAGGCUCAACCUCAGAACUGCCUUCGAUACUGGCGAUCUUGAGUUCGGAAGAGGUUGGUGGAACAGCUAGUGUAGAGGUGAAAUUCGUAGAUAUUAGCUAGAACACCGGUGGCGAAGGCGGCCUGCUGGGCAGUGGCUGACGCUGAGGCGCGACAGCGUGGGGAGCAAACAGG